rnacentral:rRNA from 1 species
GGUUAAGCGACUAAGCGUACACGGUGGAUGCCCUGGCAGUCAGAGGCGAUGAAGGACGUGCUAAUCUGCGAAAAGCGCCGGCGAGGUGAUAUGAACCCUUGACCCGGCGAUGUCCGAAUGGGGAAACCCAGUGCAAUCCGUUGCACUAUCGUUAACUGAAUACAUAGGUUAACGAGGCGAACCGGGGGAACUGAAACAUCUAAGUACCCCGAGGAAAAGAAAUCAACCGAGAUUCCCCCAGUAGCGGCGAGCGAACGGGGAGCAGCCCGGAGUCUGAAUCAGCUUGUGUGUUAGUGGAACGGUCUGGAAAGUCCGACGGUACAGGGUGAUAGUCCCGUACACGAAAGCACACAUGCUGUGAACUCGAAGAGUAGGGCGGGACACGUGGUAUCCUGUCUGAAUAUGGGGGGACCAUCCUCCAAGGCUAAAUACUCCUGACUGACCGAUAGUGAACCAGUACCGUGAGGGAAAGGCGAAAAGAACCCCGGCGAGGGGAGUGAAAAAGAACCUGAAACCGUGUACGUACAAGCAGUGGGAGCCUCUUUAUGGGGUGACUGCGUACCUUUUGUAUAAUGGGUCAGCGACUUAUAUUCUGUAGCAAGGUUAACCGUAUAGGGGAGCCGAAGGGAAACCGAGUCUUAACUGGGCGUUAAGUUGCAGGGUAUAGACCCGAAACCCGGUGAUCUAGCCAUGGGCAGGUUGAAGGUUGGGUAACACUAACUGGAGGACCGAACCGACUAAUGUUGAAAAAUUAGCGGAUGACCUGUGGCUGGGGGUGAAAGGCCAAUCAAACCGGGAGAUAGCUGGUUCUCCCCGAAAGCUAUUUAGGUAGCGCCUCGUGAACUCAUCUUCGGGGGUAGAGCACUGUUUCGGCUAGGGGGCCAUCCCGGCUUACCAACCCGAUGCAAACUACGAAUACCGAAGAAUGUUAUCACGGGAGACACACGGCGGGUGCUAACGUCCGUCGUGAAGAGGGAAACAACCCAGACCGCCAGCUAAGGUCCCAAAGUCAUGGUUAAGUGGGAAACGAUGUGGGAAGGCACAGACAGCCAGGAUGUUGGCUUAGAAGCAGCCAUCAUUUAAAGAAAGCGUAAUAGCUCACUGGUCGAGUCGGCCUGCGCGGAAGAUGUAACGGGGCUAAACCAUGCACCGAAGCUGCGGCAGCGACACUUAUGUGUUGUUGGGUAGGGGAGCGUUCUGUAAGCCGUUGAAGGUGUGCUGUGAGGCAUGCUGGAGGUAUCAGAAGUGCGAAUGCUGACAUAAGUAACGAUAAAGCGGGUGAAAAGCCCGCUCGCCGGAAGACCAAGGGUUCCUGUCCAACGUUAAUCGGGGCAGGGUGAGUCGACCCCUAAGGCGAGGCCGAAAGGCGUAGUCGAUGGGAAACAGGUUAAUAUUCCUGUACUUGGUGUUACUGCGAAGGGGGGACGGAGAAGGCUAUGUCAGCCGGGCGACGGUUGUCCCGGUUUAAGCAUGUAGGCGGAGGUUCCAGGUAAAUCCGGUACCUUAUUAACGCUGAGGUGUGAUGACGAGGCACUACGGUGCUGAAGUGAUAAAUGCCCUGCUUCCAGGAAAAGCCUCUAAGCAUCAGGUAACACGAAAUCGUACCCCAAACCGACACAGGUGGUCAGGUAGAGAAUACCAAGGCGCUUGAGAGAACUCGGGUGAAGGAACUAGGCAAAAUGGUGCCGUAACUUCGGGAGAAGGCACGCUGAUGUGUAGGUGAAGCCCCUGCGGGCGGAGCUGAAAUCAGUCGAAGAUACCAGCUGGCUGCAACUGUUUAUUAAAAACACAGCACUGUGCAAACACGAAAGUGGACGUAUACGGUGUGACGCCUGCCCGGUGCCGGAAGGUUAAUUGAUGGGGUUAGCGGCAACGCGAAGCUCUUGAUCGAAGCCCCGGUAAACGGCGGCCGUAACUAUAACGGUCCUAAGGUAGCGAAAUUCCUUGUCGGGUAAGUUCCGACCUGCACGAAUGGCGUAAUGAUGGCCAGGCUGUCUCCACCCGAGACUCAGUGAAAUUGAACUCGCUGUGAAGAUGCAGUGUACCCGCGGCAAGACGGAAAGACCCCGUGAACCUUUACUAUAGCUUGACACUGAACACUGGUCCUUGAUGUGUAGGAUAGGUGGGAGGCUUUGAAGCGUGGACGCCAGUCUGCGUGGAGCCAACCUUGAAAUACCACCCUUUAAUGGCUGGUGUUCUAACGUAGACCCGUAAUCCGGGUUGCGGACAGUGUCUGGUGGGUAGUUUGACUGGGGCGGUCUCCUCCCAAAGAGUAACGGAGGAGCACGAAGGUUGGCUAAUCCUGGUCGGACAUCAGGAGGUUAGUGCAAUGGCAUAAGCCAGCUUGACUGCGAGCGUGACGGCGCGAGCAGGUGCGAAAGCAGGUCAUAGUGAUCCGGUGGUUCUGAAUGGAAGGGCCAUCGCUCAACGGAUAAAAGGUACUCCGGGGAUAACAGGCUGAUACCGCCCAAGAGUUCAUAUCGACGGCGGUGUUUGGCACCUCGAUGUCGGCUCAUCACAUCCUGGGGCUGAAGUAGGUCCCAAGGGUAUGGCUGUUCGCCAUUUAAAGUGGUACGCGAGCUGGGUUUAGAACGUCGUGAGACAGUUCGGUCCCUAUCUGCCGUGGGCGCUGGAGAAUUGAGGGGGGCUGCUCCUAGUACGAGAGGACCGGAGUGGACGCAUCACUGGUGUUCGGGUUGUCAUGCCAAUGGCACUGCCCGGUAGCUAAAUGCGGAAGAGAUAAGUGCUGAAAGCAUCUAAGCACGAAACUUGCCCCGAGAUGAGUUCUCCCUGAGACCUUGAGUCUCCUGAAGGAACGUUAAAGACGAUGACGUUGAUAGGUCGGGUGUGUAAGCGCAGCGAUGCGUUGAGCUAACCGAUACUAAUGAACCGUGAGGCUUAACCUU